GUCGCAUAUGUAACUAUUUUUGAAAUGUAAAGUAUGUAACUGAGAUUUAGUCUGAAUAGAUCGAUGUGCAUGUUUACAGUACAGAUAAAACAUGCCAUUAAUAUACUUUCAAUGACAUGCAUCAGAAGCCUUAUUUACUGUAACUUUCACGAAAAACAUGUGAUGUGCAUGGUGCAAAUUAACUUUUUCUUAUAAUAUUGAUCUUUGCUUUUAAUUCAUAUGUAUUCUUCUCAACAACUUUUUCUUCGGCUUUUUCUCAACACUUAUUCUUCUCAGUGACUUUUUCUUCGGCUUUUUCUCAACACUAACAUCUGCACUUGGGUUUACCCCAGCCAUACAUCCCUUAAAUUCUACUUAACAUGAAUACAUGUCAAAAAUUGAUUGAAAUAAAACUAAACUAACAACCCACUAGACAAACUCAAUAAAUUUUUCUCAAGGGGCUAAAAACAUCUAAUAGGCAAUAUUUCCUAAAAGCAUAAAUUGCAGUCGAAAACUUAAUUUUUUAACGAUUUCCUAUUUACUGCGGAUGAUCGGUUCAAUAUUUGCCGAUCUCAAGUGGCAUUUAAGAUAAUUCACUAUACAUGGUCGUUGACAAGCAACUGGAAAUCUAUAGACAGCCUGUUUUUUAAAGAAAAUGGCAGGUAUUGAGAAAUACUACUAUACAUAAUUGCCUGAUAAAACAUUGAUUGUCCUUCGUACAUGAGUGAAUUCAUGAAUAUAAAACAUAGCUUUUUUAACAGGGGACUUAUAGAUUGAGAGAAUUUAAAUACUGUUCAGCAUGGGUGCAUUGAUUGACAUACAAGUUUUCAUGUAAUCUAAAUUUCACUUGAGGUCUAAUACAAUUAAAUUCUACUAAAAGAAGUCCUGCAUUGAUUUCUGUUUUUUUAAAGGUAAAAACUUCUGUUGGCAGUACAUUUAAAAUAUUUAUAUAACCAUUGGAAAUUAUUGAAGUGUUUGUUAAUUAAGAAAAAUGUCUUGUCAUAUUAAAAUUAAAUAAUAUUUUUAUUAAAUCAGUUGUCACAUAGUUUGAAAUGAAAUAGACAUGAAUACGGCAAUUCAAUUUUUAUUUCAACACAUGACCACAAGAACAUUUGGAGUAUGAUUAUUCUUCUCAGACUUAAAAAUAAAUCAA
rnacentral:lncRNA from 1 species